UCGCGGUCCGAUUUAGCUAGUUGGGAGGGUAAAAGCCUACCAAGGCGACGAUCGGUAGCUGGUCUGAGAGGAUGAUCACCACACUGGGACUGAGACACGGCCCAGACUCCUACGGGAGGCAGCAGUGGGGAUUUUCCGCAAUGGGCGAAAGCCUGACGGAGCAAUACCGCGUGAGGGAAGAAGGCUCUUGGGUUGUAAACCUCUUUUGUCAGGGAAGAAGAAUUGACGGUACCUGAAGAAAAAGCAUCGGCUAACUCCGUGCCAGCAGCCGCGGUAAUACGGAGGAUGCAAGCGUUAUCCGGAAUCAUUGGGCGUAAAGGGUCCGCAGGUGGCGAAUAAAGUCUGCUGUUAAAGACCGGGGCUUAACUCCGGAAAGGCAGUGGAAACUGAUUAGCUAGAGUACGGUAGGGGUAGAGGGAAUUCCCAGUGUGGCGGUGAAAUGCGUAGAUAUUGGGAAGAACACCGGUGGCGAAAGCGCUCUACUAGGCCGAAACUGACACUGAGGGACGAAAGCUAGGGUAGCGAAAGGGAUUAGAUACCCCUGUAGUCUUAGCGGUAA
rnacentral:rRNA from 1 species